rnacentral:rRNA from 1 species
GUUAAAAAGCUCGUAGUUGGAUUUCUGUUGAGGACGGCCGGUCCGCAUUAUGUGCGUGUAUCUGGUUCGGCCUUGGCAUCCUCCAGGGGAACGUACCUGCGCUUUACUGCGUGGGACGGUAUUCUGGACUUUUACUUUGAGGAAAUUAGAGUGUUCACGGCAGGCAGUCGCCUUGAAUAUAUUAGCAUGGAAUAAUAAUAUAGGACCUUGAUUCUAUUUUGUUGGUUUCUAGAAUUUAGGUAAUGAUUAAUAGGGACAAUUGGGGGCAUUUGUAUUAACACGUCAGAGGUGAAAUUCCCGGAUUGUGUUACGACAAACUACUGCGAAAGCAUUUGCCAAGGAUGUUUUCAUUGAUCAAGAACGAAAGUAAGGGGAUCGAAGACGAUUAGAUACCGUCGUAGUCUUUACCAUAAACUAUGCCAACUAGAGAUUGGAGGUCGUUCUUUUUAUGACUCCUUCAGCACCUUAUGAGAAAUCAAAGUCUAUGGGUUCCGGGGGGAGUAUGGUCGCAAGGCUGAAACUUAAAGGAAUUGACGGAAGGGCACCACCAGGAGUGGAGCCUGCGGC